CGCCUCUUGAUUAAACCAUAAGAGGUCCAGCCUGCCCAGUGACAUUGUUCAACGGCCGCGGUAUCCUAACCGUGCGAAGGUAGCGUAAUCACUUGUCCCUUAAAUGGGGACUAGUAUGAAUGGCCCCACGAAAGCUAUACUGUCUCCUUUUUCCAAUCAGUUAAACUAAUCUUCCCGUGAAGAAGCGGGAAUAAAUAUACAAGACGAGAAGACCCUAUGGAGCUUUAAACAAUUGAAACACUUGCAUGCUUGCUUUAUUAAACCCACAUUAAACCUCACAUUUUGUUUCUAGUUUUAGGUUGGGGUGACCGCGGAGAAUAAACUAACCUCCACGCCGAAAGAGACAUCUCUAAACAAAAAGCUACAUCUUUAUGUAUUAAUAUAUUAACCUUUAUUGACCCAAUUUAUUGAUCAACGAACCAAGUUACCCUAGGGAUAACAGCGCAAUCCAUUUCAAGAGCUCUUAUCGACAAAUGGGUUUACGACCUCGAUGUUGGAUCAGGGUAUCCCAGUGGUGCAGCCGCUACUAAUGGUUCGUUUGUUCAACGAUUAAAACCCU
rnacentral:rRNA from 1 species